ACGCUGGCGGCGUGGCCUAAUACAUGCAAGUCGAACGAGAGCGACCGGUGCUUGCACUGGUCAAUCUAGUGGCGAACGGGUGAGUAACACGUGGGUAACCUGCCCAUCAGAGGGGGAUAACAUUCGGAAACGGAUGCUAAAACCGCAUAGGUCUUCGAACCGCAUGGUUUGAAGAGGAAAAGAGGCGCAAGCUUCUGCUGAUGGAUGGACCCGCGGUGCAUUAGCUAGUUGGUGAGGUAACGGCUCACCAAGGCCGUGAUGCAUAGCCGACCUGAGAGGGUGAUCGGCCACAUUGGGACUGAGACACGGCCCAAACUCCUACGGGAGGCAGCAGUAGGGAAUCUUCCGCAAUGGACGCAAGUCUGACGGAGCAACGCCGCGUGAGUGAAGAAGGUUUUCGGAUCGUAAAACUCUGUUGUUAGAGAAGAACAAGUGCUAGAGUAACUGUUAGCGCCUUGACGGUAUCUAACCAGAAAGCCACGGCUAACUACGUGCCAGCAGCCGCGGUAAUACGUAGGUGGCAAGCGUUGUCCGGAUUUAUUGGGCGUAAAGCGAGCGCAGGCGGUUCCUUAAGUCUGAUGUGAAAGCCCCCGGCUCAACCGGGGAGGGUCAUUGGAAACUGGGGAACUUGAGUGCAGAAGAGGAGAGUGGAAUUCCAUGUGUAGCGGUGAAAUGCGUAGAUAUAUGGAGGAACACCAGUGGCGAAGGCGACUCUCUGGUCUGUAACUGACGCUGAGGCUCGAAAGCGUGGGUAGCAAACAGGAUUAGAUACCCUGGUAGUCCACGCCGUAAACGAUGAGUGCUAAGUGUUGGAGGGUUUCCGCCCUUCAGUGCUGCAGUUAACGCAUUAAGCACUCCGCCUGGGGAGUACGACCGCAAGGUUGAAACUCAAAGGAAUUGACGGGGACCC
rnacentral:rRNA from 1 species